UGGCAUUCAGCUAGGAUUCAGGUCAGUUCCAGGAUUCAGGAACUGACCAGCGUUCCUGAAUCCUGUCUGCAUGCCUGCCUGUUACCUGACCUGUUUCUGCGCCCUGAUUCUCUGAUCCUGCCUAACUCCUGUCGGAUCUGAUUUCCUGCCUGUUACCUGACCUGUUUCUGCCUCCUGAUUUUCUGAGCCUGCCUAACCCCUGUCAGACCUGAUCGUUGUGUUGUCUGGAUCUCUGACCUGCUUCAGUUCCGACUCUGCCCCCGGAUUCUGUUUUGGACUUUCCCUGGAUCUGCUCUCGGGACUUCAGACUCUGGUUAUCCCCCUGACAAUCCUGCCUGUGUCUGACAUCAUUGUUCUGACCCUGUGCCUGUCCUUUGACCACCAAUUACCUGCCAGCUCCAUGACUAACAGCCUUCAAGCUGAUUUGAUUGGACUCUGGAUCGCAUUGGGCUUCGCCAGCGACAUCACCCACCAACAGGAGCCUUCACUUGCCUUCCAAGCCUGUUUCCAGAAUGUGAGACACUGGUGAUUCACCCUCGACCUGCAGCAGUUUACCUCUCAAAAUGUAUCGCUAUCUGAUGUUGUCUGGCUGAAUUCUGGGUCCUCUGUUUCCGGUCAUUACAGUUAUUUUCCUGAACCACCAACCAAAAGGGAGGGGGGAGACCAGAAGCAGAACAAGUAUCUGCUGAGCACCGCAGAAAAUACUGCAGAACAUCAAUACAUUAGUGUUUUUUUUUCACUCUUUUCUACAAAAUAUCCUAUCCUUUUCACUAUCAGUCUUCAUCAUCAUCAAAAGCCCACCCUUCAAACACAUAUGUAUGAAUGUAAAACCGUACAAAACCCAUACCUUCCCCUCCCCACGUAGCUCUGCUUUUUUCUCUGGUGCAGAGCUAAUGUGCUGUGUCGGUCUGUUGUGAAAAGCCUGCAGCACUGUGCAGCGGGCACAGUAUAAGUGUAUUCCAAUAUCACAAGAGCAUACCCUCAAAAUCUAUAGGGCUAUUACCAUUUCAUAUUUUAUGCCCUUAACCAUUUAAAUAAACCUAUGCUAGUAUCCACUGGUAAUGAUCAGAAUGUGAUUCUUACUAGAAAAUGACAUGUAACAAAAAACUGACUUAUUAGGCUGUUGCAAUUAAACAUGUUUCACA